AUCACUUCUCAGCCUUUUGGCUAAGAUCAAGUGUAGUAUCUGUUCUUAUUAGUUUAAUAAAGCCGACUGGAGAAUUUCAGGUAAUCACACUUUUUUUAUCUUAUUCAUAAGGAUUAAGAGUUAGCACUAGUUUCUUAGUAAAGGGUAACCAGAAGCACCAUCAAGAUCCACUGAAA
rnacentral:snRNA from 1 species